rnacentral:rRNA from 1 species
UCCAGACCAUACUACCCUGAACACGCCCGAUCUCGCCUGAUCUCGGAAGCUAAGCAGGGUCAGACCCGGUUAGUACUUGGAUGGGAGACCGCCUGCGAAUACCGGGUGCUGUAG